rnacentral:rRNA from 1 species
GUAGGUGGCAAGCGUUGUCCGGAAUUAUUGGGCGUAAAGCGCGCGCAGGCGGUUCUUUAAGUCUGAUGUGAAAGCCCACGGCUCAACCGUGGAGGGUCAUUGGAAACUGGAGAACUUGAGUACAGAAGAGGAAAGCGGAAUUCCACGUGUAGCGGUGAAAUGCGUAGAGAUGUGGAGGAACACCAGUGGCGAAGGCGGCUUCCUGGUCUGUAACUGACGCUGAGGCGCGAAAGCGUGGGGGAGCAAACAGGAUUAGAUACCCUGGUAGUCCACGCCGUAAACGAUGAGUGCUAAGUGUUAGGGGGUUUCCGCCCCUUAGUGCUGCAGCUAACGCAUUAAGCACUCCCGCCUGGGAGUACGGCCGCAAGGCUG